CCUUUGACAUGUACGGAAUUCGCCAGAGAUGGCUUAGUGCUCGAAAGAGAACCGUAACACAGGUGCUGCAUGGCUGUCGUCAGCUCGUGUCGUGAGAUGUUGGGUUAAGUCCCGCAACGAGCGCAACCCUUGUCAUUAGUUGCUACAUUUAGUUGGGCACUCUAAUGAGACUGCCGGUGACAAACCGGAGGAAGUGGGGAUGACGUCAAGUCCUCAUGGCCCUUAUAGGUAGGGCUACACACGUCAUACAAUGGAUGGUACAAAGGGUCGCCAACCCGCGAGGGGGAGCCAAUCCCAAAAAACCGGUCCUCAGCUCGGAUUGGAGUCUGCAACUCGACUCCAUGAAGUUGGAAUCGCUAGUAAUCGUGGAUCAGCAUGCCACGGUGAAUACGUUCCCGGGCCUU
rnacentral:rRNA from 1 species